ACGACUCUGGGCAACGGAUAUCUCGGCUCUCGCAUCGAUGAAGAACGUAGCGAAAUGCGAUACCUGGUGUGAAUUGCAGAAUCCCGCGAACCAUCGAGUCUUUGAACGCAAGUUGCGCCCGAGGCCACUCGGCCGAGGGCACGCCUGCCUGGGCGUCACGC
rnacentral:rRNA from 1 species